UAUGACCUUUCCCUACUUUUAGAAACUGUCCCAGGGGGACAGUCCGAGCUGACCGGACUAUUUGUAGAGAGGCCAGAGAGCACUACAAACGUCACCUUUGUGGCUAAAGUGGACUCAUCUGACCUGCUGAGGAAGCCCAACAUGAAAUGGCUGAAAGGGAAGUGGCUGGACCUGGGCAGCAAGGCUGGCAAGCACGUGCAGUUUAAAGAGGCCUAUGACAGGAACUCCAAGGUGUUAGUGGAAGGAGACGCAGGUGGCUACCGUUGUGAGGUCACCUCCAAAGACAAGUGUGACAGCUGUACAUUUGAAGUCACAGUGGAAGGUGUGACCUGGACUUCAGUGCCCUCCUCAAAAAAAGGUAGGAGUGGAGUUAACUCCAUUAUGAGCAAUCACACAUACUCUCACACACACAAUCAAUCUCCUCUCCCCCUCUCUUUCAGGGAAAAAAAGGCRAGGGACGAGCCCAAAGAGGAUGUGGAUGUGUGGGAGAUCCUGAAGGAUGCUAAGCCAUGUGACUAUGAGAAGAUUGCCUUUGACUAYGGCAUCACAGACCUCAGGGGCCUGCUCAAGAGACUGAAGAAGAUGAAGAAGGUGGAACCCAAGAAGAGUGACGCCUUCCUGAAGAAGCUAGAGCAAUGUUACUCUGUGGACAAGGGCAAGAGGACCCAGAUGCAUGUUGAGCUCCAUGACCCCAACGUUCAGGUCAAAUGGCUGAAGAACGGAGUGGAGAUCAAACCCUCUGCCAAGUAUGUGUUUGAGUGCGUGGGCAACAAACGGACACUCACCAUCAACAAGAGCAACCUGUCUGACGAUGCAGCCUAUGAGUGUGUGGUGGGAGAGGAGAAGAGCUUCACUGAAGUCUUUGUCAAAGAGCCCCCGGUCACCAUCACCAAGCUGCUGGACGAUGUGCAUGUAGUGGUGGGAGAGAAGGUGGAGUUUGAGUGUGAGGUGUCAGAGGAAGGAGCCAACGUCAAAUGGAUGAAAGAUGGAGUUGAGCUGACCAAGGAUGGGAAGUACAGGAUAAAGAAGGAUGGGAAGAAACACACUCUGGUCAUCAAUGAAGCAACCAUAGAGGACAUCGGAAUGUACUAUGUUUACACUAAUGGGGGAGAAUCCAAAGGAGAACUGGAAGUGGAAGCCAAGGAGCUGGAGGUUCUGCAGAGUAUAGCUGACCUGUCGGUGAAGGCGUGUGAACAGGCCAUGUUCAAGUGUGAGGUGUCUGAUGAGAAGGUGGUGGGCAAGUGGUUCAAGGACGGUGUGGAGGUCAAACCCGGCAACCGCAUCAAGAUGUCACACAUCGGAAGGAUCCACAAGCUGACGAUUGAUGACGUGAAGCCGCAGGACGAAGGAAACUACACCUUUGUCCCUGAAGGAUACGCACUCUCCCUCUCCGCUAAACUCAACUUCAUUGAAAUCAAGAUCGAAUAUGUUCCACGGCAAGACCCUCCCAAAAUCCACCUGGACACCAGUAGCACGGGCAGCAAGAACACCAUUGUUGUGGUGGCUGGCAACAAGCUCCGCCUUGAUGUGGAGAUCACAGGAGAGCCUGUCCCCACUGUGUGCUGGAUGAAAGGAGACACUGUGAUAUCGGAGGCGGAGGGCAGAGUGAGGGUGGAAACUAGGACCACUCUGAGCAGCUUUGUCAUUGAGGGGGCGGAGAGGCCAGACGAAGGCCAGUACUCUAUCAUAGUGACCAACCCAGCCGGAGAGGACAGGGCUGAGCUCAAUGUCAAGAUUGUUGAUGUGCCUAACCCUCCAGAGAACGUCAGAUGUAUGGGAGUUGGCGAGGACACAGCCACCAUUACAUGGGAUCCCCCCAAAUUUGACGGGGGUGCACCCAUCAAAGGUGCACCUUUCCUAUUUUUACAUCUAUCUGUUGAGCUAUCAGACUCUCUUUCCUCUGGGUUAACAGGCAUCUGUUAA
rnacentral:lncRNA from 1 species